rnacentral:rRNA from 1 species
GACGAACGCUGGCGGCGUGCUUAACACAUGCAAGUCGAACGGAAAGGCCCUGCUUUUGUGGGGUGCUCGAGUGGCGAACGGGUGAGUAACACGUGAGUAACCUGCCCUUGACUUUGGGAUAACUUCAGGAAACUGGGGCUAAUACCGGAUAGGAGCUCCUGCUGCAUGGUGGGGGUUGGAAAGUUUCGGCGGUUGGGGAUGGACUCGCGGCUUAUCAGCUUGUUGGUGGGGUAGUGGCUUACCAAGGCUUUGACGGGUAGCCGGCCUGAGAGGGUGACCGGCCACAUUGGGACUGAGCUACGGCCCAGACUCCUACGGGAGGCAGCAGUGGGGAAUCUUGCACAAUGGGCGGAAGCCUGAUGCAGCAACGCCGCGUGCGGGAUGACGGCCUUCGGGUUGUAAACCGCUUUCGCCUGUGACGAAGCGUGAGUGACGGUAAUGGGUAAAGAAGCACCGGCUAACUACGUG